UGGGAAUCCCUGUUCUACCAACAUUUAUCUGUCGCUCCAAGUGGCGAUCUGCAGGCUGGGAAGGAGUCUAGCCAAACUCACGAGUUGAGUUGGGGGUUGGGAAGAGUGAAAAGAAUGUUCCAGGCUGAGGGCGGCUGCGAGGCCGACUUAAAUCUCCGGCACCUGAGGCCGCCUCAGUUCCUGCGAGUUUCCUCCUACUGUGAACAUCAGUGCUCUGGCCUCCGUCUCCUGGCCACCUCCCUCGCGCCAUGGCCCCGAAGCGGCAAUCUGCGAUCCUGCCUCAGCCCAAGAAACCCAGACCCGUUGCUGCCCCGAAGCUGGAGGACAAGUCGGCCUCUCCCGGCCUGCCGAAGGGAGUAUGCUUCUUGCAUUCAUCUUGCGAAGUUCAUAACCCAAUCAGUGGAAUGCCCCGUGGGUCUUCUGUGGAGCAGGCUCUUGGUUCGAUGCUUGCCGUGGUCACUAGCACCAACCCUUGGAUCAGACGGUGUGGUUGAAAAAUCUUCAGUUUUCAGAGCAAGCUUCUUUCUACCUGGGAGUGGCCCAAGAAGUCAGUGUGUCUAGGUCUGUCUUGUAGGUACAAAAAGGAAAGAGGUUGGAGAGGUGGUUAAGUGCUUAAGAGCACAUUGGCCUUGCCAUGGACCUGGAUUUAGUUUCCAGCACCACCAUGGUGGCUCACAACCACCUGUAGCUUCAGAUCCAGGAGGAUCCUCUUCUGGCCUUCCUUGCACUUGGCACACUUAUAAACAUUUACAG
rnacentral:lncRNA from 1 species